rnacentral:rRNA from 1 species
AGAGUUUGAUCCUGGCUCAGGAUGAACGCUAGCGGCAGGCUUAACACAUGCAAGUCGAGGGGUAUAGUAGCAAUACUAGAGACCGGCGCACGGGUGCGUAACGCGUAUGCAACCUACCUUUUACAGAGGGAUAGCCCAGAGAAAUUUGGAUUAAUACCUCAUAGUGUUAUUAGAUGGCAUCAUUUGAUAACUAAAGUUCCAACGGUAAAAGAUGGGCAUGCGUCCUAUUAGCUAGAUGGUAAGGUAACGGCUUACCAUGGCUACGAUAGGUAGGGGUCCUGAGAGGGAGAUCCCCCACACUGGUACUGAGACACGGACCAGACUCCUACGGGAGGCAGCAGUGAGGAAUAUUGGACAAUGGGCGCAAGCCUGAUCCAGCCAUGCCGCGUGCAGGAAGAAGCAUCUAUGGUGUGUAAACAGCUUUUGUACGGGAAGAAACACUCCUACGUGUAGGAGCUUGACGGUACCGUAAGAAUAAGGAUCGGCUAACUCCGUG